rnacentral:rRNA from 1 species
GUAGGUGACCUGCGGAGGACAUUAUUGAAUGAAACUUCUGGCUGGAUGCUGUUGUGCUGGCCCUUUGGUGCAAUGUGCACACACUUCUGGUUGUCUGUUUCUUCUGUUCCACCUGUGCACUGCCUGUAGACACUCUGUGUCUAUGAUAUUGGUUACACACACAUGAUGUUUUGCAUAUUGGUUACAUAUGUAUGAUAAUAUACAACUUUCAACAACGGAUCUCUUGGCUCUCGCAUCGAUGAAGAACACAGCGAAAUGUGAUAAGUAAUGUGAAUUGCAGAAUCCAGUGAAUCAUCGAAUCUUUGAACGCAUCUUGCGCUCCUUGGCAUUCCGAGGAGCAUGCCUGUUUGAGUGUCAUUAAACUAUCAAAGCACCUUUCCUGGGGUGUUUUGGACUUUGGGAGUAUUUUGCUGGCCUGUUUGAGCCAGCUCUCCUCAAAAGCAUUAGCUUUGGAGACCAUCAGUGUGAUAACUCUCUUUACACUGACUGAGUGUGUCUCUGCUUCUUAAAUAUGCUGGACACCCUUUGACCUCAAAUCAGGUAGGACUACCCGCUGAACUUAAGCAUAUCAA